rnacentral:tRNA from 1 species
AAGAGAAUUCAAUUGGAAGCUGCUAACUAUCCUUUUAACAUAAAAUGUUAUUCUCUUA